rnacentral:lncRNA from 1 species
UAUACUUUGUGUGAUUAUCAUUUCAGCACUAAGGCAUAGAAAUUAGGUUUUUUUUUUUGAAAUUCACUUUUUUUUUGAAAUUCACUUAAAAAUGUGAAAAUGCGAAAAAUUCCUUUAAAAAUUCGAAUCCUAUACCCCCCAACCUAGAUCAGACAUUGUCCUCAAUAUUUUUUUUUAAAUAUUAUAUUAUUAUUUUUAUUGUUUAAUAUAUUUUUUUAUUUUGAACGAAAAUAUGAUGCAUAUGGAGGAUAGAAGCAUUUUACCAUAGUUGCAUCAGUAAUAUGAGGGAUCCUGUUAAGAAAAUAAAAAAAAUACGACAAAAAAAUAUGCAAAAAUAACCUACGAGAAUUGGGUUGCCUCCCAACAAGCGCUAAGUUUAAUGUCUUCAGCCAGACGCAGUGCAUCCUUAUCAAAUCAUACCGGGUUCAUGCGGGGUUCUCCAAGAAAGAAAAUUUGUGGAAGACUGAUUGUUGGGCAGGAAGUUGACUGCUUCUAUGGCCUUGUCUAUAUCAAAGUCAAAAUGGGCCAAGUAUGUUUUCAGAGGGUUAUCUGCCAAAAUAUAGGGAAGGGUUUCUUCUACAAGAUCGUCCAUUUUGUCUAUUAGGAAGCACUCAACUUCCUUUACAGGUUGAUCAGAGGCACGAAAUAUAUUUAACUUGACCUUCAUAUUCCCAAAGGAUAUAUUCAUCACCCCAGUUCUACAAUUUAUACUCGCAUUAGCUGUAGCUAAAAAGGGGCGCCCAAG